rnacentral:rRNA from 1 species
AGAGUUUGAUCAUGGCUCAGGAUGAACGCUGGCGGCGUGCCUAACACAUGCAAGUCGAGCGGUAAGGCCUCUUCGGAGGUACACGAGCGGCGGACGGCUGAGUAACACGUAGGAACGUACCCCAAACUGAGGGAUAAGCACCAGAAAUGGUGUCUAAUACCGCAUGUGCUCUUCGGAGUAAAGCUACGGCGGUUUGGGAGCGGCCUGCGCAUGAUUAGCUUGUUGGUAAGGUAAUGGCUUACCAAGGCGACGAUCAUUAGCUGGUCUGAGAGGAUGAUCAGCCAGACUGGGACUGAGACACGGCCCAGACUCCUACGGGAGGCAGCAGUGGGGAAUCUUCCACAAUGGACGAAAGUCUGAUGGAGCAACGCCGCGUGCAGGAUGAAUGCCUUCGGGUUGUAAACUGCUUUUAUCUGUGAAGAUUAUGACGGUAGCAGAUGAAUAAGGAUCGGCUAACUCCGUGCCAGCAGCCGCGGUCAUACGGAGGAUCCAAGCGUUAUCCGGAAUUACUGGGCGUAAAGAGUUGCGUAGGUGGCAUCGUAAGUUGAUAGUGAAAGAGUCCGGCUCAACCGGAUAGACAUUAUCAAAACUGCGAAGCUAGAGGACGAGAGAGGUUAUUGGAAUUCCUAGUGUAGGAGUGAAAUCCGUAGAUAUUAGGAGGAACACCGAUGGCGUAGGCAGAUAACUGGCUCGUUCCUGACACUAAGGCACGAAAGCGUGGGGAGCAAACGGGAUUAGAUACCCUAGUAGUCC